ACGGGAGGCAGCAGUAGGGAAUAUUGCACAAUGGGGGGAACCCUGAUGCAGCAACGCCACGUGUGGGAGGAAGCAUUUCGGUGUGUAAACCACUGUCGUGAGGGAAUAAUGCUUGAUUUCGGUCAAGUUGAAUGUACCUCGAAAGGAAGCAUCGGCAAACUUCGUGCCAGCAGCCGCGGUAAUACGAGGGGGGCAAGCGUUGUUCGGAAUCACUGGGCGUAAAGGGAGCGUAGGCGGAGACGCAAGCAGUCUGUACAAUACCGGGGCUCAACCCCGGACCUGCAGACGGGACUGUGUCUCUUGGAUAGUUCAGGGGCAGGCGGAAUUCCCGGUGUAGUGGUGGAAUGCGUAGAGAUCAGGAAGAACACCGAUGGCGAAGGCAGCCUGCUGGGGACUCAUCGACGCUGAGGCUCGAAAGUGCGGGUAGCAAACAGGAUUAGAUACCCUGGUA
rnacentral:rRNA from 1 species